AAAAAAGAAAAAAGAAAAAGGAAAAAAAGCAGGAGAAGAGACUUGUAUGUAUGACAAUGUAGAGACAUAUACAUGACAAACGAAAAUCACUGAGUGGCGAACAAUUUAGCCUCUCUUUAUCUUUGCAGCUCUCUUUCUGCGAAUGAGCCCCGAAAUGAUGUCGGAAGAUAGAGGGGCACGGUCUGCGACAGGAUUGUAUAGGGUGGCGAAGACAACUCAUAGGA
rnacentral:ribozyme from 1 species